rnacentral:rRNA from 1 species
UUCGAAACUGGCAGGCUGGAGUCUUGUAGAGGGGGGUAGAAUUCCAGGUGUAGCGGUGAAAUGCGUAGAGAUCUGGAGGAAUCCCGGUGGCGAAGGCGGCCCCCUGGACAAAGACUGACGCUCAGGUGCGAAAGCGUGGGGAGCAAACAGGAUUAGAUAUCCUGGUAGUCCACGCUGUAAACGAUGUCGACUUGGAGGUUGUUCCCUUGAGGAGUGGCUUCCGGAGCUAACGCGUUAAGUCGACCGCCUGGGGAGUACGGCCGCAAGGUUAAAACUCAAAUGAAUUGACGGGGGCCCGCACAAGCGGUGGAGCAUGUGGUUUAAUUCGAUGCAACGCGAAGAACCUUACCUACUCUUGACAUCCAGAGAACUUAGCAGAGAUGCUUUGGUGCCUUCGGGAACUCUGAGACAGGUGCUGCAUGGCUGUCGUCAGCUCGUGUUGUGAAAUGUUGGGUUAAGUCCCGCAACGAGCGCAACCCUUAUCCUUUGUUGCCAGCGAUUCGGUCGGGAACUCAAAGGAGACUGCCAGUGAUAAACUGGAGGAAGGUGGGGAUGACGUCAAGUCAUCAUGGCCCUUACGAGUAGGGCUACACACGUGCUACAAUGGCAUAUACAAAGAGAAGCGACCUCGCGAGAGCAAGCGGACCUCAUAAAGUAUGUCGUAGUCCGGAUUGGAGUCUGCAACUCGACUCCAUGAAGUCGGAAUCGCUAGUAAUCGUGGAUCAGAAUGCCACGGUGAAUACGUUCCCGGGCCUUGUACACACCGCCCGUCACACCAUGGGAGUGGGUUGCAAAAGAAGUAGGUA